rnacentral:rRNA from 1 species
UACGAAGGGUGCAAGCGUUACUCGGAAUUACUGGGCGUAAAGCGUGCGUAGGUGGUUUGUUAAGUCUGUUGUGAAAGCCCCGGGCUCAACCUGGGAAUGGCAAUGGAUACUGGCAAGCUAGCGUGCGGUAGAGGGUAGUGGAAUUCCCGGUGUAGCGGUGAAAUGCGUAGAGAUCGGGAGGAACACCAGUGGCGAAGGCGGCUACCUGGACCAGCACUGACACUGAGGCACGAAAGCGUGGGGAGCAAACAGG